rnacentral:misc_RNA from 1 species
AUUUUAUCUAAUUUUUAGUACGAAAGGACCAAAGUUAGAAAAUAUUUUUUUGUUGUUGAAUACUAAUAACUAUUUUGGCAGAAAAGUGCCAUGAAUUUAGAAUUCAUAAAUGUAAGAUUACCUUACAGAUAGUAC